AAAUUGAAGAGUUUGAUCAUGGCUCAGAUUGAACGCUGGCGGCAGGCCUAACACAUGCAAGUCGAACGGUAACAGGAAUCAGCUUGCUGAUUCGCUGACGAGUGGCGGACGGGUGAGUAAUGUCUGGGAAACUGCCUGAUGGAGGGGGAUAACUACUGGAAACGGUAGCUAAUACCGCAUAACGUCGCAAGACCAAAGAGGGGGACCUUCGGGCCUCUUGCCAUCGGAUGUGCCCAGAUGGGAUUAGCUAGUAGGUGGGGUAACGGCUCACCUAGGCGACGAUCCCUAGCUGGUCUGAGAGGAUGACCAGCCACACUGGAACUGAGACACGGUCCAGACUCCUACGGGAGGCAGCAGUGGGGAAUAUUGCACAAUGGGCGCAAGCCUGAUGCAGCCAUGCCGCGUGUAUGAAGAAGGCCUUCGGGUUGUAAAGUACUUUCAGCGGGGAGGAAGGGAGUAAAGU
rnacentral:rRNA from 2 species